rnacentral:rRNA from 1 species
GAUGAACGCUAGCUACAGGCUUAACACAUGCAAGUCGAGGGGAAACGACAUCGAAAGCUUGCUUUUGAUGGGCGUCGACCGGCGCACGGGUGAGUAACGCGUAUCCAACCUGCCCAUCACUUGGGGAUAACCUUGCGAAAGUAAGACUAAUACCCAAUGACGUCUCUAGAAGACAUCUGAAAGAGAUUAAAGAUUUAUCGGUGAUGGAUGGGGAUGCGUCUGAUUAGCUUGUUGGCGGGGUAACGGCCCACCAAGGCGACGAUCAGUAGGGGUUCUGAGAGGAAGGUCCCCCCACAUUGGAACUGAGACACGGUCCAAACUCCUACGGGAGGCAGCAGUGAGGAAUAUUGGUCAAUGGGCGAGAGCCUGAACCAGCCAAGUAGCGUGCAGGAUGACGGCCCUAUGGGUUGUAAACUGCUUUUAUAAGGGAAUAAAGUGAGCCUCGUGAGGCUUUUUUGCAUGUACCUUAUGAAUAAGGACCGGCUAAUUCCGUGCCAGCAGCCGACGG